rnacentral:rRNA from 1 species
AGAGUUUGAUCCUGGCUCAGGACGAACGCUGGCGGCGUGCCUAAUACAUGCAAGUCGAGCGAGCUUGCCUAGAUGAUUUUGGUGCUUGCACUAAAUGAAACUAGAUACAAGCGAGCGGCGGACGGGUGAGUAACACGUGGGUAACCUGCCCAAGAGACUGGGAUAACACCUGGAAACAGAUGCUAAUACCGGAUAACAACACUAGACGCAUGUCUAGAGUUUGAAAGAUGGUUCUGCUAUCACUCUUGGAUGGACCUGCGGUGCAUUAGCUAGUUGGUAAGGUAACGGCUUACCAAGGCAAUGAUGCAUAGCCGAGUUGAGAGACUGAUCGGCCACAUUGGGACUGAGACACGGCCCAAACUCCUACGGGAGGCAGCAGUAGGGAAUCUUCCACAAUGGACGAAAGUCUGAUGGAGCAACGCCGCGUGAGUGAAGAAGGGUUUCGGCUCGUAAAGCUCUGUUGGUAGUGAAGAAAGAUAGAGGUAGUAACUGGCCUUUAUUUGACGGUCAUUACUUAGAAAGUCACGGCUAACUACGUGCCAGCAGCCGCGGUAAUACGUAGGUGGCAAGCGUUGUCCGGAUUUAUUGGGCGUAAAGCGAGUGCAGGCGGUUCAAUAAGUCUGAUGUGAAAGCCUUCGGCUCAACCGGAGAAUUGCAUCAGAAACUGCUGAACUUGAGUGCAGAAGAGGAGAGUGGAACUCCAUGUGUAGCGGUGGAAUGCGUAGAUAUAUGGAAGAACACCAGUGGCGAAGGCGGCUCUCUGGUCUGCAACUGACGCUGAGGCUCGAAAGCAUGGGUAGCGAACAGGAUUAGAUACCCUGGUAGUCCAUGCCGUAAACGAUGAGUGCUAAGUGUUGGGAGGUUUCCGCCUCUCAGUGCUGCAGCUCACGCAUUAAGCACUCCGCCUGGGGA